GAGAGUGGCGCACGAGGUGCGUAACGCGUAUGCAAGUGCCUACCUUUAACAGGGGGAUAGCCCGUGAGAAAUUCUGGAUUAAUACCCCGUAGUAAUUAUUGGUGGCAUCACUGACUUAGUUUAAAGCUAAGGCGGUUAGAGAUGGGCAUGCAGUUCCAUUAGCUAGUUGGUGAGGUAACGGCUCACCAAGGCGACGAUGGAUAGGGGACCUGAGAGGGCGAUCCCACCACACUGGUACUGAGACACGGACCAGACUCCUACGGGAGGCAGCAGUAAGGAAUAUUGGGCAAUCAGGCCCAGGCAAGGCUGACCCAGCCAUGCCGCGUGCAGGAAGACGGCCUUAUGGGUUGUAAACUGCUUUUGUCAGGGAGUAAACCUUAUACUUGUAUACCCCAGGUUGAAAGUACAUCAAGAAUAAGCAUCGGCUAACUCCGUGCCAGCAGCCGCGAGUGAUCAUCACGGAGGACGCGUGGGUUAUCAGGGUUCAUUGGGUUUAAAGGGUGCGCAGGCGUGCUAAUAAGUCAGGGGUGACUUAAUUCCACGGCUCAACUAUACGGCUGGCUUUGAUACUGUUAGUCUUGAGUUUAGUUGAGGUGGGCGGAAUUUCGCAUGUAGCAAUGAAAUGCAAGACAAGCUACAGCAAAACCGAUAGCGAAGGCAGCUCACCAAAUUUCACAACUGACUUUCAUGCACGAAAGCGCGGGGAUUAAACCGGAUUAGACGCUCGCAUCCUCCACGCUGUAAAGGCUGCUGACUCGGUGUUGGCCGAUGCUCAGUCAGCGGCUAAGCGCAAGCUCAUAACUAGUACAACUGGGGAGUACCUGAUCGCAGCAGGUUAAAACCCAUAAGGAUUGACGGGGGCCCGCACAAGCGCUGGGGCAUGCGGCUAUUAUUCAAUAUUCCUCGAGGAUACCUUACCUGGGCUGGUACGCUCAAUGUUAGUGGGGGGAAUCUCAAGUCCCUUCGGGGCGUUGAGCGAGGUGCUGCAUGGUUGUCGUCAGCUCGUGCCGUGAGGUGUCGGGAUAAGUGCCCAUCUUUAACGAGCGCAACCCUAAACUAUCAUUAGUUGCCAAACUCAGUUAAAGCUGGGGACUCUAGUCCGAAACUGCCUACGCAAUCCCCCUGUAGAGAGGAAGGUGGGGUAUGACGUCACGCAAUCAGCACGGCCACUUACGUCCAGGACUACACACGUGCUACAAUGGCCGGUACAGAGGGCAGCCAGCCUGGUGACAGGGAGCGAAUCUCGAAAACCGGUCUCAGUUCGGAUCGAAGUCUGCAACCCGACUUCGUGAAGCUGGAAUCGCUGACGUCCGGGCCCAAUCAGCCCCUAAUGGCGCGGUGAAUACGUUCCCGCUGGCCUUGUACACACCGCCCGUCAAGCCAUGGGAGCCGGGGGUACCUGAAGUCGGUUGAACCGCAAAGGAGCCGCCUAGGGUAAACUUGGUCGACUGGGGCUAAGUCGGUUAACAAGGUAGCCGUA
rnacentral:rRNA from 1 species